CAGAAGUGCGAAUGCUGACAUAAGUAACGAUAAAGCGGGUGAAAAGCCCGCUCGCCGGAAGACCAAGGGUUCCUGUCCAACGUUAAUCGGGGCAGGGUGAGUCGACCCCUAAGGCGAGGCCGAAAGGCGUAGUCGAUGGGAAACAGGUUAAUAUUCCUGUACUUGGUGUUACUGCGAAGGGGGGACGGAGAAGGCUAUGUUGGCCGGGCGACGGUUGUCCCGGUUUAAGCGUGUAGGCUGGUUUUCCAGGCAAAUCCGGAAAACCAAGGCUGAGGCGUGAUGACGAGGCACUACGGUGCUGAAGCGACAAAUGCCCUGCUUCCAGGAAAAGCCUCUAAGCAUCAGGUAACAUCAAAUCGUACCCCAAACCGACACAGGUGGUCAGGUAGAGAAUACCAAGGCGCUUGAGAGAACUCGGGUGAAGGAACUAGGCAAAAUGGUGCCGUAACUUCGGGAGAAGGCACGCUGAUAUGUAGGUGAAGCGACUUGCUCGUGGAGCUGAAAUCAGUCGAAGAUACCAGCUGGCUGCAACUGUUUAUUAAAAACACAGCACUGUGCAAACACGAAAGUGGACGUAUACGGUGUGACGCCUGCCCGGUGCCGGAAGGUUAAUUGAUGGGGUUAGCGGUAACGCGAAGCUCUUGAUCGAAGCCCCGGUAAACGGCGGCCGUAACUAUAACGGUCCUAAGGUAGCGAAAUUCCUUGUCGGGUAAGUUCCGACCUGCACGAAUGGCGUAAUGAUGGCCAGGCUGUCUCCACCCGAGACUCAGUGAAAUUGAACUCGCUGUGAAGAUGCAGUGUACCCGCGGCAAGACGGAAAGACCCCGUGAACCUUUACUAUAGCUUGACACUGAACAUUGAGCCUUGAUGUGUAGGAUAGGUGGGAGGCUUUGAAGUGUGGACGCCAGUCUGCAUGGAGCCGACCUUGAAAUACCACCCUUUAAUGUUUGAUGUUCUAACGUUGGCCCGUAAUCCGGGUUGCGGACAGUGUCUGGUGGGUAGUUUGACUGGGGCGGUCUCCUCCUAAAGAGUAACGGAGGAGCACGAAGGUUGGCUAAUCCUGGUCGGACAUCAGGAGGUUAGUGCAAUGGCAUAAGCCAGCUUGACUGCGAGCGUGACGGCGCGAGCAGGUGCGAAAGCAGGUCAUAGUGAUCCGGUGGUUCUGAAUGGAAGGGCCAUCGCUCAACGGAUAAAAGGUACUCCGGGGAUAACAGGCUGAUACCGCCCAAGAGUUCAUAUCGACGGCGGUGUUUGGCACCUCGAUGUCGGCUCAUCACAUCCUGGGGCUGAAGUAGGUCCCAAGGGUAUGGCUGUUCGCCAUUUAAAGUGGUACGCGAGCUGGGUUUAGAACGUCGUGAGACAGUUCGGUCCCUAUCUGCCGUGGGCGCUGGAGAACUGAGGGGGGCUGCUCCUAGUACGAGAGGACCGGAGUGGACGCAUCACUGGUGUUCGGGUUGUCAUGCCAAUGGCACUGCCCGGUAGCUAAAUGCGGAAGAGAUAAGUGCUGAAAGCAUCUAAGCACGAAACUUGCCCCGAGAUGAGUUCUCCCUGACUCCUUGAGGGUCCUGAAGGAACGUUGAAGACGACGACGUUGAUAGGCCGGGUGUGUAAGCGCAGCGAUGCGUUGAGCUAACCGGUACUAAUGAACCGUGAGGCUUAACCUU
rnacentral:rRNA from 1 species